GGUACUUCCUCGGUGGUACUUCCUGGUAGCCACCAUAUAUAAGCACACUGUUUAUGUCUGUUCUUUGCGAAGUAUUGCCAGUUCCACUGCCUUACCAAGCGGUUUCCAACUGUUGUGUUUGCUAUAGUGUUAUGACCUUUUUGCCUGCCUUUUGACUACUGCUUUUUGGAUUUUGGACUCUGCCUUGUUUGCUAUUUUCGGACUGCCUCUUUGUUUGCUUGACUCAGCCUGGUUAGGAUUACGAUUCUGCCUUUGUUUGAUGUUUGCUGUUUACUUAAUAAACCUCCAGCGUUUGGAUUCAAUCAGCCUCCAUGUCUUCACCUACGGCUCCCUCACAGGGCUGUUUUAACUGCGGUUUUCUCAUCACUGAAAUUUUUGUUGUUCUUGUUCUAAACAAAAACUUUGCUAGUGCCCCUUUAAAACCAGGUAGACAUUCACACUGGCCGGUCACAUGGUGACAGGGGCCAUUGCUGUGGACACAGUGUGGACAUGCCUGGCUGCAGCGGUGGCCAAAGACACCUGGAGAACAGACUGGGGGGACAUCGAGAAAACACCAGGAGAAAAUGAGAAAUGAGAAAACAGACAUGUCGUCAAAGAGACAGACAUAUGAACACAAACGCACAGUCUGUUUGAAUACUCACUGUGUUGGCAGGUGGUUCCUCUGAAUCCAGGUGCACACUCACAUGCACCUUCAUCAGGGGUUUUCACCUUUAUAGUGAUACAACAGUGGAAAUCUAGAGACAGAAAAGUAUGGGGAGCGGAGAUAGUGGAAGGGUCAGCAAAGGACCUCGAGCUGGGAAUCGAACUUGGGUCACCGUGAACAACUCAGUACCGUGUGUCGACGCACUAACCACAAGGACAUUGGCGCGGACUUUCAACACAUUUCUAAACAUAAUAGUAAAAAAUAAUAACUUACAAUAAGGAUGUAAUCCUUAAUGUUAGCUAAUCAUUAGGUUUUUUUGUCAUGUGUCAAUUAUAAAUCAAUUAAUUAGGCAAUUAAUUAAGCAUAAUUAGUUCAUGUUUACUUACACAAUCACUAAUUUGUUCAUGGAUUACAUAACAUGACCUAAAAAUGAACAACAUAUU